UUCAGAAGCAAUAACAAAGCCGAACGAGGCGGACGUGUGACGCUCGGUGCGCUUAAUUGUGAAUUGAAUUCGUUGUCGCUUGGUUUAUAUGUGCGCUGGGUUUGUGACUUUGUUAUCUGUCGUUUACUAGCUGACUCUACCGAUUACCACGCGUGUAUUUUUUUGUUUGUUUAUGUGUGUGUGCGUGCAUGUUUGUCUAUGGCACAAAUUCAAAUAAUUUUACAAAUCUAAUGUGCCUUGCAACACAACAAUUUGUUUUUUCUAUCGUUAAUGCCGCGCUUCGACUUCAAAAAUAAUUUGGAAUAUUUCGCCUGCGAAUUGAAUUAGUUAAAUGCAACAGCAUUUCAACUAAUUACUUCGUUUAUUUUUUUGUUUUUGAAUUUCGCGCCGUCGUCUCAACGCAUCCGCAACUACAGUACAGCCUCUCUCCGCCCCUAACACCCACCCACCCCAAAGAGAAACAUAUUAAAACUUAAACAGCAAAAAAAAAA